rnacentral:rRNA from 1 species
GAUGAACGCUGGCGGCGUGCCUAAUACAUGCAAGUCGAGCGAACAGACGAGGAGCUUGCUCCUCUGACGUUAGCGGCGGACGGGUGAGUAACACGUGGAUAACCUACCUAUAAGACUGGGAUAACUUCGGGAAACCGGAGCUAAUACCGGAUAAUAUAUUGAACCGCAUGGUUCAAUAGUGAAAGACGGUUUUGCUGUCACUUAUAGAUGGAUCCGCGCCGCAUUAGCUAGUUGGUAAGGUAACGGCUUACCAAGGCAACGAUGCGUAGCCGACCUGAGAGGGUGAUCGGCCACAUGGGAACUUAGACACGGUCCAGACGCCUACGGGAGGCAGCAGUAGGGAAUCUUCCGCAAUGGGCGAAAGCCUGACGGAGCAACGCCGCGUGAGUGAUGAAGGUCUUGGGAUCGUAAAACUCUGUUAUUAGGGAAGAACAAAUGUGUAAGUAACUAUGCACGUCUUGACGGUACCUAAUCAGAAAGCCACGGCUAACUACGUG